rfam:Myotis lucifugus cont2.13933, whole genome shotgun sequence.
GGUGGUUCUUGGGUGAUGCACCCCAGAAUCAGGCUCCCUUCUCUCUGGUUUCAGGUACAUCACUCAAGAACCACA